rnacentral:misc_RNA from 1 species
AAUGGGAAAGAAAACAAAGAAACCAGGCAAAGGUAAAGAGAAAACAGAGAAGAAAACAGCUAAAGCAGAAGAGAAAAGAGCCCGUAGAGAAUCAAAGAAGCUCUCCCCUGAAGACGACAUCGAUGCUAUACUGCUGAACAUACAAAAAGAGGAAGCUAAGAAGAAGGAAAUUCAUGUUGAAGAGAAUGUCCCUGCACCUUCUCCUCGAUCCAAUUGUUCGUUGAGCAUUAACCCGUUGAAGGAGACCGAAUUAGUUCUCUAUGGUGGUGAAUUUUACAAUGGCAGCAAGACAUUUGUAUAUGGCGAUCUCUACCGGUAUGACGUGGAAAAGCAAGAGUGGAAGUUGAUUUCAAGCCCCAACAGUCCGCCUCCUCGCAGUGCACACCAAGCAGUUGCUUGGAAAAAUUAUCUUUAUAUUUUUGGUGGUGAAUUUACAUCUCCUAAUCAGGAGCGAUUCCACCAUUACAAGGAUUUUUGGGCAUUGGACUUGAAAACAAACCAAUGGGAGCAGCUAAAUUAUAAAGGGUGUCCUAG